ACGACCUUCCUCGACCCCCUUCGGCUACGACUCCUGACACCGCCGCCGGCGAAAGCAACUUGGAGCGAAGGUGCCCCUAUCCCGUCGAGUGGGGGUGCCCCUCCCAGAGGAACGCACGUAGUGGUGGGCGACGACGGCGGCAGCGGCUGCGGCAGCGGCAGCGGCAACUGCUCUCUCUCCGUGGCGUUGUGCACCAUGGCGAUGACGACUACGAUGUUCCAGAUCAACCAGGAUCUAAACCUCCUCUCCUUCCUGCGGCGAUUGGUUCCGGAGUCCGAGUUCACCGGCCGCAAACGCUUAACAUCCAGCGACCAGGAGGGCGAGCGGUUGCUCAUCUAUGGCAUGCAGGACGAGGCGGCAUGGUUGGGCAGAUGACGCGGCAGGUAGAUUGGAAGCGGGAAGCUGAUCCAUCAACGAAAUUAUGAUCCUGGUGCUUCUUUCCUCAGAUUUAUACAUUACUGUCUUUGUAACCUACAACUGCUUCACCUCACACUCACCCGUUCCUCUUCUGAACUAGGCAGCAGAACGACAACUUAGUUGUUGUCUAGGUUACCACUUUAUCUUCCUUUUUCCUGCACAAUUUCCUUGCAAUCCCCUUGCAAUCCCCUCUUUUCAUCCAAUGACUCCAUUGUAAUAAUCUGUUUCCAAUCUGAAUUUUGGGCAGACAGUGUCCAUCCUGGUUCUGGUCAAUCUCUGAGGUUCAUUCUCAUAAAUUAGCUUGUAUUCUCCCUAAUGAUGCUUGGGUGGUUUUAGUUUUUAAUGAUGUGCGAUCAAGUUACCAUCACUAAUGUUGACUAGACAUAGCAAUUUUCUACUACUCGUGUACACUGUCCGGUGUUGAUUUUUGACCGAUACUUUAAGAAAAAAUAAUGCAUGAAUAACUCCACAAAUCAAGGUGCUAAAUAAUCUGUUUGUCGGUCCGAGAUGCUAGAGAUUAGGGUAAUAAAUUAGGAUUUGCCAUACCUGCAGUGUUCAAUGAUUAGGGUUGAUGCUAUUAAGUUCAUAGUGUACAAUGAUCUAUCAUGUAACUGAAUUCUGAAUGCUCCAAUUUCCACGGAUGUUCACUUGAUUUCCAUGGAUGUUAUGUCGAUCUGUUAUACAAGUCAUGCAUACACUCUCUGUAUUUUUCAUUUUACCAACUUCAGAAAUUAUUCAGAUCACCUUGAUGUUUGAAUUAUUAAUUAUUGGAGCAAAAGAAAGUAUAUAUAGGCAAUAGAUUGUAUGUAGUGUGCAGCAUAAAAAAUUACUCUCCCUAUAGGGUGCCGGGAACAUUUUUUUAGCAUAUUUAUCUUUAGCAGUACGGAAACUCCCCUCAACGAAGAUGCUUUCAAGGGCCUUCUAUAAUUGUCUCAUUAAAGGACAACCAGUGUUGGAUGAUGAGAGGACAACCAAGGUGAAGAUACAACGCCUACAGUGCAUCCUCCAAGUGAGCUACAACCAGACAUGCGGCAGUCAAUGGAAUUCGGGUGGAGCGACGGUUAUAACAAAUGAGCAGUACCUUGACCGUAUCUGCGGAGAUGAGCUUUCUGUAGGAUGUGCUCCUUGGGAAGGUAACACUUGUUUAACCGAACAUAAAAUGACAGACUGUUGGAAGGAGGCAUAACCUUUAGUCUACUGCGAAGAAAUUCAAUAACUGGAGCAGAAGGUCCAAAGUUAUACCUGGACUGCAGCCGGUGAUAUGAACUUCAUGUGGCUGCUUUGCUGCUACACGUGUUGCCAAUUAGGAUAGUCAAUAGGGGUGCGUUUACAGUGUUGUGGGCAAAAAUAAUUGCCAGCCAUUUUACUAUAGCUGAUAUAGUUGUCCCUACAAUAAUGAGUACCUACACUUUAUUUA